rnacentral:rRNA from 1 species
UACGGGAGGCAGCAGUGGGGAAUAUUGCACAAUGGGCGCAAGCCUGAUGCAGCCAUGCCGCGUGUAUGAAGAAGGCCUUCGGGUUGUAAAGUACUUUCAGCAGUGAGGAAGGUGGAUAUGUUAAUAGCAUAUUCAUUUGACGUUAGCUGCAGAAGAAGCACCGGCUAACUCCGUGCCAGCAGCCGCGGUAAUACGGAGGGUGCGAGCGUUAAUCGGAAUUACUGGGCGUAAAGCGCAUGCAGGUGGUUUGUUAAGUCAGAUGUGAAAGCCCGGGGCUCAACCUCGGAAUUGCAUUUGAAACUGGCAAACUAGAGUACUGUAGAGGGGGUAGAAUUUCAGGUGUAGCGGUGAAAUGCGUAGAGAUCUGAAGGAAUACCGGUGGCGAAGGCGACCCCCUGGACAGAUACUGACACUCAGAUGCGAAAGCGUGGGGAGCAAACAGGAUUAGAUACCCUGGUAG